GGCGACCGGCGCACGGGUGAGUAACGCGUAUGCAACUUACCUAUCAGAGGGGGAUAACCCGGCGAAAGUCGGACUAAUACCGCAUGAAGCAGGGGCCCCGCAUGGGGAUAUUUGCUAAAGAUUCAUCGCUGAUAGAUAGGCAUGCGUUCCAUUAGGCAGUUGGCGGGGUAACGGCCCACCAAACCGACGAUGGAUAGGGGUUCUGAGAGGAAGGUCCCCCACAUUGGUACUGAGACACGGACCAAACUCCUACGGGAGGCAGCAGUGAGGAAUAUUGGUCAAUGGGCGUAAGCCUGAACCAGCCAAGUCGCGUGAGGGAUGAAGGUUCUAUGGAUCGUAAACCUCUUUUAUAAGGGAAUAAAGUGCGGGACGUGUCCCGUUUUGUAUGUACCUUAUGAAUAAGGAUCGGCUAACUCCGUGCCAGCAGCCGCGGUAAUACGGAGGAUCCGAGCGUUAUCCGGAUUUAUUGGGUUUAAAGGGUGCGUAGGCGGCCUUUUAAGUCAGCGGUGAAAGUCUGUGGCUCAACCAUAGAAUUGCCGUUGAAACUGGGGGGCUUGAGUAUGUUUGAGGCAGGCGGAAUGCGUGGUGUAGCGGUGAAAUGCUUAGAUAUCACGCAGAACCCCGAUUGCGAAGGCAGCCUGCCAAGCCAUGACUGACGCUGAUGCACGAAAGCGUGGGGAUCAAACAGGAUUAGAUACCCUGGUAGUCCACGCAGUAAACGAUGAUCACUAGCUGUUUGCGAUACACUGUAAGCGGCACAGCGAAAGCGUUAAGUGAUCCACCUGGGGAGUACGCCGGCAACGGUGAAACUCAAAGGAAUUGACGGGGGCCCGCACAAGCGGAGGAACAUGUGGUUUAAUUCGAUGAUACGCGAGGAACCUUACCCGGGUUUGAACGCAUU
rnacentral:rRNA from 1 species